CUGUUCUUUGCCACCCAUUAUCCAGAGAAAGAGUUGUCUUCAGAGAGUCGUUAAGCCGUCACUUUAUGCUUUUGAAACUUACUCUCUUAACUUCCUUCAAACUCAACUCCAGAAGUAAUCCCUACAGCAAAACUCCAGGGAGGUGACAGACGAUACAAUAAUAGUCAUUACUGACUAUUACACGAGUGAUCGUUUUUAGCCAUCUGAGUUACAUGACAUGGUGGCGAAAAUGUCAAUGGCUGCGUACCAAGAGCUCUUGUUGUUGGAGUCAUGCUGUAUUCUGGAAAAAUCUUGUGCAGAAAAUCCAGCGCGGUGUCGUUACCAGCUUGUGAUACAGACACAGCCGUCUACUUGGAAAUCUGAAUUAAUCAGAUAUAAGUUAGAGAAAGCUUCCGAAAUCUAA
rnacentral:lncRNA from 1 species